rnacentral:tRNA from 1 species
UGUUAUGUGGCUUAGCUGGUAAAACCGCAGGUCUAGCAAAUACGAAGUCGUGGGUUCGAAUCCCACCAGAACGC